AUCUUAAUGAAAUGAAUGUCGAGAAGGGUUGUAGCUGGCCUUUUGGGGCAUGUGCACACCUUGAUCGCACAUCCACCUCUCACACCUGUGCACUAUGUGUAGCUUGGGAUGAUUACAAUGUCAUAAAUGAUAUUGAAAGCCCUAGCUAUGAAUUUUUAUUAUAAACCCAUAUACAAAGUUAUAGAAUGGAUAAUGUUAUAGCGUGUAAUAGCGCAAAUAUAUACAACUUUCAGCAACGGAUCUCUUGGCUCUCGCAUCGAUGAAGAACGCAGCGAAAUGCGAUAAGUAAUGUGAAUUGCAGAAUUCAGUGAAUCAUCGAAUCUUUGAACGCACCUUGCACUCCUUGGUAUUCCGAGGAGUAUGCCUGUUUGAGUGUCAUGAAAUUCUCAACUGCCUUUUUAGCAUUUAUGUUAAGGGUGAAGUUGGAGUUGGAGGAUAAUUGCUGGCGCACAACUUAGGUUGUUUGUUAGCUCCUCCUAAAUGGAUGAGCUUUUCUGAUAGAUNAUGGCUCAGUAACACUAAUGUGAUAAUUAUCUACAUUAAAUGUGAAAGCUAUGAGUAGAGUAACUUCAAUUGUGGAGAAGCUCCUAUAGAAAAGAGUAUGUCUUGGGGAUAAAUAAACCCUUGACUUGAAAUAUAAUGACAAAUCUGACCUCAAAUCAGGUAGGACUACCCGCUGAACUUAAGCAUAUCAAUAAGC
rnacentral:rRNA from 1 species